rnacentral:rRNA from 1 species
GAUGAACGCUGGCGGCGUGCCUAAUACAUGCAAGUCGAGCGAACAGACGAGGAGCUUGCUCCUCUGACGUUAGCGGCGGACGGGUGAGUAACACGUGGAUACCCUACCUAUAAGACUGGGAUAACUUCGGGAAACCGGAGCUAAUACCGGAUAAUAUAUUGAACCGCAUGGUUCAAUAGUGAAAGACGGUUUUGCUGUCACUUAUAGAUGGAUCCGCGCCGCAUUAGCUAGUUGGUAAGGUAACGGCUUACCAAGGCAACGAUGCGUAGCCGACCUGAGAGGGUGAUCGGCCACACGGGAACGGAGACACGGUCCAGACUCCUACGGGAGGCAGCAGUAGGGAAUCUUCCGCAAUGGGCGAAAGCUUGACGGAGCAACGCCACGUGAGUGAUGAAGGUCUUCGGAUCGUAAAGCUCUGUUAUUAGGGAAGAACAAAUGUGUAAGGAACUAUGCACGUCGUGACGGUACCUAAUCAGAAAGCCACGGCUAACUACGUG